AGAUUUUGGCUGUGACUACCCUAAUUACUAACCUUUUUUUUUAUCUCACACAUGGUACACAUGGUUUUCAGUCUUGGUUGCAGCAGAUUAAUGCAUUCUUUUGCAUAAACCUAGCCAAUUAUUGACACCAAGAAAGGUUCUUCUGGAUGAGAUGAGAUUUUUUUUAGUACGGAUGAUAAUCACUAAGAAAGAAAUAUAUAUAAGUGAGGGGAGUUAAAUUAAUACCUCUGGUAAGUAUGGUAACAUCAAUCCUAUGCAGUGCAGCAUCUGAAGAGGAGCCCCAGGGCUCAGUCUGGAUGCUAAUAUAUUGAAUCAAAGGAGCAAUGUUUAAAUCAUUGUGCAUUAAUUCUGCAGAAGCAGAACUGAGGUACUAUAUAAACUUGAACAGGUACUUGUUCAGAACAGGAAGCAUGACAUCAAUAUACAAACUGCAAAUUUGUUGUUCACAUGAAGAGAUGAGAAUCUAACCAGUAGCAUGACAUCUAAAUAAGCUGCACAUUGGCUAUUCAGAUGAAGAGACGAGAAUCAAACCAUUUUUCAUUUUGCAUUUUGGGCUAACAACAAUAAUUCUGCCGCUAUAAACUGGAUCAGGCAUAACAACAAUUCCGUAGGAAUAAACAGAGGAAAUAAUGGCAGUUCCACAACAAUGAACUGAAG
rnacentral:lncRNA from 1 species